rnacentral:rRNA from 1 species
GACGAACGCUGGCGGCGUGCCUAACACAUGCAAGUCGAACGAAAAGGCCCUGCUUUUGUUGGUUGCUCGAUUGGCGAACGGGGGAGUAAAACAUGAAGAACCCGCCCUUGAAUUUGUGGGAACUUUUGGGAACACCGGCUAAUACCCGGUAGGAUCUCCCGAUGCGUAGGGGUGGUUAGAAAAAUUUGGCGGUUGGGGCUGGACUCGCGGGUUAUCAGCCUGUUGGUGGGGUAGGUGAUUUCCAAGGCUUUGACGGGUAGCCGGCCUGGGAGGGUGAACGGCGACAUUGGGACUGAGAUACGGACCAGACUGCUACGGGAGGCAGCAGUGGGGAACAUGGCACAAUGGGCGGAAGCCUGAUGCAGCAACGUCGCGUUCGGGAUGACGGCCUUCGGGUUGUAAACAGCUUUCGCAUGUGACGAAGCGUGCGUGACGGUAACGGGUAAAGAAGCACCGGCUAACUACGUG